AACGAACGCUGGCGGCAGGCCUAACACAUGCAAGUCGAGCGAGGACUUCGGUCCUAGCGGCGGACGGGUGAGUAACGCGUGGGAACGUGCCCUUUGCUUCGGAAUAGCCCUGGGAAACUGGGAGUAAUACCGGAUGAGCCCUUUGGGGGAAAGAUUUAUCGGCGAAGGAUCGGCCCGCGUUGGAUUAGGUAGUUGGUGGGGUAAUGGCCUACCAAGGCGACGAUCCAUAGCUGGGUUGAGAGGAUGAGCAGCCACACUGGGACUGAGACACGGCCCAGACUCCUACGGGAGGCAGCAGUGGGGAAUCUUAGACAAUGGGGGAAACCCUGAUCGAGCCAUGCCGCGUGAGCGAUGAAGGCCUUAGGGUUGUAAAGCUCUUUAAGCUGGGAAGAUAAUGACGGUACCAGCAGAAGAAGCCCCGGCUAACUCCGUG
rnacentral:rRNA from 1 species